rfam:Ictidomys tridecemlineatus contig074886, whole genome shotgun sequence.
GGAGUUGUGGCUCAGCGGUAGAGCACUCGCCUAGUACGUGUGAGGCCCUGGGUUCGAUCCUCAGCAUCACAU